UACGGAGGGGGCUAGCGUUGUUCGGAAUUACUGGGCGUAAAGCGCGCGUAGGCGGCUUUGUAAGUUAGAGGUGAAAGCCCGGGGCUCAACCCCGGAACUGCCUUUAAGACUGCAUCGCUUGAAUCCAGGAGAGGUGAGUGGAAUUCCGAGUGUAGAGGUGAAAUUCGUAGAUAUUCGGAAGAACACCAGUGGCGAAGGCGGCUCACUGGACUGGUAUUGACGCUGAGGUGCGAAAGCGUGGGGAGCGAACAGG
rnacentral:rRNA from 1 species